UCCUACGGGGGGCUGCAGUGGGGAAUAUUGCACAAUGGGCGAAAGCCUGAUGCAGCGACGCCGCGUGAGGGAUGACGGCCUUCGGGUUGUAAACCUCUUUCAGCAGGGAAGAAGCGAAAGUGACGGUACCUGCAGAAGAAGCGCCGGCUAACUACGUGCCAGCAGCCGCGGUAAUACGUAGGGCGCAAGCGUUGUCCGGAAUUAUUGGGCGUAAAGAGCUCGUAGGCGGCUUGUCACGUCGGAUGUGAAAGCCCGGGGCUUAACCCCGGGUCUGCAUUCGAUACGGGCUAGCUAGAGUGUGGUAGGGGAGAUCGGAAUUCCUGGUGUAGCGGUGAAAUGCGCAGAUAUCAGGAGGAACACCGGUGGCGAAGGCGGAUCUCUGGGCCAUUACUGACGCUG
rnacentral:rRNA from 1 species